rnacentral:lncRNA from 1 species
AGUUAUAUUGUAACACAGACAUCAUCAUAAUUGAUUUUUUCACACUUGCUUAGGUGGCAGGACCUAUUACAGAUGAGAUUUUGGAAAUGGAUGUGAAACAUCAGAAUGGAGAAAGCUGUACAAAGGAGUCAGAGAAACAUGGUGAUUUGCCAUUAAAGACCUUGUUAGAGAGCUUUGAUGCAGAGAAAAGUAAUCUGGAACUUCAUUUACAAAGAAUCAAAGAUGAAGCUGUGUCUGGUUUUACCAGUGAAAUACAAGAUGCCUCAUGCCUUCAGAAUAAACUGUGUGAGCUAGAGGUUUUACAGAGUAAAGCUAAUUCAUGUUGGAUGCAGUUUGAAAUUAUUGCAUCUAAGUUAGAAAAUCUUGUGGAUGAAUCAGAGAAACUUACUAUUUCUGAAAUGAGAAACAAGCUGAAAAGAGAAUGGAGUGAGCUUCAGGUUGUUCUAAAUCCCAGGUAUAAAAUAAAGUUACAUGGCUUUACUUCGCAUUAUCUGUGGAGCAGUAUGUUGUCA